GUCAUGAUGAUUCUCCUUACAUGUGUUAGAACUUCUGACGUGGAUGAAGUGAAGCUGAGUCUGAGC
rfam:Pelodiscus sinensis unplaced genomic scaffold C72892056, whole genome shotgun sequence.